rnacentral:rRNA from 1 species
AUUGAACGCUGGCGGCAGGCCUAACACAUGCAAGUCGAGCGGAUGAUGGGAGCUUGCUCCUGGAUUCAGCGGCGGACGGGUGAGUAAUGCCUAGGAAUCUGCCUGGUAGUGGGGGACAACGUUUCGAAAGGAACGCUAAUACCGCAUACGUCCUACGGGAGAAAGCAGGGGACCUUCGGGCCUUGCGCUAUCAGAUGAGCCUAGGUCGGAUUAGCUAGUAGGUGAGGUAAAGGCUCACCUAGGCGACGAUCCGUAACUGGUCUGAGAGGAUGAUCAGUCACACUGGAACUGAGACACGGUCCAGACUCCUACGGGAGGCAGCAGUGGGGAAUAUUGGACAAUGGGCGAAAGCCUGAUCCAGCCAUGCCGCGUGUGUGAAGAAGGUCUUCGGAUUGUAAAGCACUUUAAGUUGGGAGGAAGGGCAGUAAGUUAAUACCUUGCUGUUUUGACGUUACCGUAAGAAUAAGCACCGGCUAACUACGUGCCAGCAGCCGCCGUAAAAC